GCCACCCACUCACCUGGGCUGGGCGCGGCCAGGAUGGGGAGACGAGGGAUGCACGCCCGCACGCCUCGCUGCUUCACCUCUGCUGCUCUCGCUCUGCUCCGAGCCACCCACCACUUUUCUAAGUGCGGCUCCUGAAAGGUCCUUCUCGCCCGACUCGUGCUCCCUCCCUCGCUCCCAUUUGCCGAAGAUGAUGAUGGAGCCUGCCUGCUUCUUAUCAUCAUUUCAGUCUUUCCUCGUAAACAUUUCUGUGCUCACGCUAGCAUACUCCGCCUCCUGAGUUCCUGCUGUACUGCACUGGCUGGCCCCUGUUUGUUGAAGUCGCAGCUCAAAUGUAUCAAACUGAUCCUUCCUGGCCAACAGAGCUCAAAAGUAACCGUGUAGAUAGAUACCCUGUAUCCAUCCCUUCCACUGCAUUAAUUUAAGGCUUAUUUCUGUUUGUUGCUUGUCUCUGCUUUACCUUGAAAACUAAGUCAGAGCAGCACUCCCAGGAUCCUGAGAAGGGUAACCUAGUAGACACCAGUGUCAUUUAAUGAAUACUUGUUCAUAUCCAGAAUCCCCAGUGCUUAACACAAUUCCUGGCACAUUCCAGGUGCCCUCACAAAGAGAAGAAAGACUGCAUUGCAGUCUAAAGGAAUACCGUAUAAUUGAGAAGGCAAUUAAUGGUAUAGUACAUGUAGAUGUAACCAUGUGUUCCAGAGGCACGACCAGCUUCCUGGGCAUGCAACCUAUGUAGUACCCAAGGCUCCUAGUCCCUGGUACUCAAGAUCCUAACAGACAUGGUAGUUAUAAACAAGGCUUAGCAUUAGCAGCAAAGGGAACCAUUCUGGUCAGAACCAGGGAUCAGUGUGUCCCAAGCCCUAUCAGCAUAAGAAGAGGAGAAGAUUAUCUGAACUCAAGGACAUCAAAAACAAAAUAUUGUCUUCUGGUGUGUUGUGCUGCAAAUAACAGGAGUGUGGCUAAAAAUAACAUAAACAAUAAAGAAAUAUAUUGCUUCAUGUAA